GACGAACGCUGGCGGCGUGCUUAACACAUGCAAGUCGAACGGAAAGGCCCUGCUUUUGUGGGGCGCUUGUGUGGCGAGCGGGUGAGUAACACGUGAGUAACCUGUCCCUGACUUUGGGAUAUCUUCAGGAAACUGGGGCUAUUACCGCAUAGGAUCUUCUGCUGCGUGGUGGGGGUUGGAAAGUUUCGGCGGUUCGGGAUGGACUCGCGGCUUAUCAGCUUGUUGGUGGGGUAGUGGAUUACCAAGGAUUUGACGGGUAGCCGGCCUGGGAGGGUGACCGGCCACAGUGGGACUGAGGUACGACCCGGACGGAUACGGGAGGAAGGGGUGAGAAAUAUUGCGCGAUGGGCGGCGGCAUGAUGGAGGAACGCCGGGUGCGGGAUGACGGCCUUCGGGUAGGAACCCGCGUUCGCGUGUCACGGAGCAUGAGUAAGGUUAAUGGGUAAAAAGGCACGGGUUAACUAGGU
rnacentral:rRNA from 1 species